CGCGAAUGGCUCAUUACACCAGCUGAAAUUUACUGGAUAUAUCCUUUACAUGGAUAACUGUGGUAAUUCUACAGCUAAUACACGCAUCAAAACCCCGACUAACGAAGGGGUGCGUUUGUUACUUCAAACCAAUCGGGCUUCGGCCUGAAAACUGGUGAAACUGAACAAUUUAGCUGAUCGCACGGUCUAUGCACCGGCGACAUGUCUUUCAAACGUCUGCCUUAUCAACUUUCGAUGGUAGAUUAUGCGCCUACCAUGGUUGUAACGGGUAACGGAGAAUCAGGGUUUGAUUCCGGAGAGGGAGCCUGAGAAACGGCUACCACAUCCAAGGAAGGCAGCAGGC
rnacentral:rRNA from 2 species